CCUACGGGAGGCAGCAGUGGGGGAAUCUUGCGCAAUGGGCGAAAGCCUGACGCAGCCAUGCCGCGUGAAUGAUGAAGGUCUUAGGAUUGUAAAAUUCUUUCACCGGGGGACGAUAAUGACGGUACCCGGAGAAGAAGCCCCGGCUAACUUCGUGCCAGCAGCCGCGGUAAUACGAAGGGGGGCUAGCGUUGCUCGGAAUUACUGGGCGUAAAGGGAGCGUAGGCGGAUAGUUUAGUCAGAGGUGAAAGCCCAGGGCUCAACCUUGGAAUUGCCUUUGAUACUGGCUAUCUUGAGUGUGGGAGAGGUUAGCGGAACUCCGAGUGUAGAGGUGAAAUUCGUAGAUAUUCGGAAGAACACCAGUGGCGAAGGCGGCUAACUGGCCCAUUACUGACGCUGAGGCUCGAAAGCGUGGGGAGCAAACAGGAUUAGAUACCCUGGUAGUCCACGCCGUAAACGAUGAGUGCUAGUUGUCGGCAUGCAUGCAUGUCGGUGACGCNGCUACGACAUAGACACUCCGCCGUGGGAGGUACGGUCGCGAGAUAAACUACGAAAGAAGUAGACGGCGUGAGACGUCGCCGACGGACGACGACGAGGGAGGUUAGG
rnacentral:rRNA from 1 species